AUGGCGACCGGCGCACGGGUGAGUAGCACGUAUCCAACCUGCCGAUAACUCGGGGAUAGCCUUUCGAAAGAAAGAUUAAUACCCGAUGGCAUAAUUAGACCGCAUGGUCUUAUUAUUAAAGAAUUUCGGUUAUCGAUGGGGAUGCGUUCCAUUAGGCAGUUGGUGAGGUAACGGCUCACCAAACCUUCGAUGGAUAGGGGUUCUGAGAGGAAGGUCCCCCACAUUGGAACUGAGACACGGUCCAA
rnacentral:rRNA from 1 species